UACAUGGGGUGCAAACGUUGCUCGGAAUUAUUGGGCGUAAAGCGCGCGUAGGCGGUUACUUAUGUCGGAUGUGAAAGCCCUCGGCUUAACUGAGGAAGUGCAUUCGAAACUGGGUAGCUAGAGUACUAAAGAGGGUCGCGGAAUUCCCGGUGUAGAGGUGAAAUUCGUAGAUAUCGGGAGGAACACCUGUGGUGUAGACGGCUUUCUGGACCAUAGCUGACGCUGAGACACGAAAGCGUGGGUAGCAAACAGG
rnacentral:rRNA from 1 species